rnacentral:rRNA from 1 species
CCUACGGGGGGCAGCAGUGAGGAAUAUUGGUCAAUGGACGAGAGUCUGAACCAGCCAAGUAGCGUGAAGGAUGACUGCCCUAUGGGUUGUAAACUUCUUUUAUAAAGGAAUAAAACGAGGCACGUGUGCCUGUUUGCAUGUACUUUAUGAAUAAGGAUCGGCUAACUCCGUGCCAGCAGCCGCGGUAAUACGGAGGAUCCGAGCGUUAUCCGGAUUUAUUGGGUUUAAAGGGAGCGUAGAUGGGUUGUUAAGUCAGUUGUGAAAGUUUGCGGCUCAACCGUAAAAUUGCAAUUGAUACUGGCAGUCUUGAGUACAGGUGAGGUAGGCGGAAUUCGUGGUGUAGCGGUGAAAUGCUUAGAUAUCACGAAGAACCCCGAUUGCGAAGGCAGCUUACUAAACUGUGACUGACAUUGAUGCUCGAAAGUGUGGGUAUCAAACAGGAUUAGAUACCCUUGUAGUC